UACGUAGGGUGCAAGCGUUGUCCGGAAUUAUUGGGCGUAAAGAGCUCGUAGGUGGUUCGGUAAGUCGGAUGUGAAAUCUCCAGGCUCAACCUGGAGGGGUCAUUCGAUACUGCCGUGACUAGAGGUCGGUAGGGGAGUGUGGAAUUCCUGGUGGAGCGGUGAAAUGCGCAGAUAUCAGGAGGAACACCCGUAGCGAAGGCGGCACUCUGGGCCGAUACUGACGCUGAGACACGAAAGCGUGGGUAGCAAACAGG
rnacentral:rRNA from 1 species